CGCUGGCGGCGUGCUUAACACAUGCAAGUCGAACGAUGAAGCUGGAGCUUGCUCCGGUGGAUUAGUGGCGAACGGGUGAGUAACACGUGAGCAAUCUGCCCUUGACUCUGGGAUAACUGCGGGAAACUGUAGCUAAUACCGGAUAUUUUCCCUGGUGGGCAUCCACUGGGGAAGAAAGAAUUUCGGUCAAGGAUGAGCUCGCGGCCUAUCAGCUAGUUGGUGAGGUAAUGGCUCACCAAGGCCACGAUCAGUAGCUGGUCUGAGAGGAUGAUCAGCCACACUGGGACUGAGACACGGCCCAGACUCCUACGGGAGGCAGCAGUGAGGAAUUUUCCACAAUGGGCGAAAGCCUGAUGGAGCAAUACCGCGUGGAGGAAGAAGGACCGUGGUUCGUAAACUCCUUUUCUCAGAGAAGAAGAUCUGACGGUAUCUGAGGAAUAAGCUCCGGCUAACUCUGUG
rnacentral:rRNA from 1 species